rnacentral:rRNA from 1 species
UACGUAGGCAGCGAGCGUUGUUCGGAGUUACUGGGCGUAAAGGGUGUGUAGGCGGUUCUCUAAGUUUGGUGUGAAAUCUCCCGGCUCAACCGGGAGGGUGCGCCGAAAACUGGAGGGCUAGAGUGCGGGAAGGGAGAGUAGAAUUCCUGGUGUAGCGGUGAAAUGCGUAGAUAUCAGGAGGAACACCGGUGGCGAAGGCGGCAUCCUGGACCAAUAUUGACGCUGAGGAGCGAAAGCCAGGGGAGCAAACGGG